rnacentral:rRNA from 1 species
UGGGGAAUAUUGCACAAUGGGGGAAACCCUGAUGCAGCAACGCCGCGUGAGUGAAGAAGUAUUUCGGUAUGUAAAGCUCUAUCAGCAGGGAAGAAAAUGACGGUACCUGACUAAGAAGCCCCGGCUAACUACGUGCCAGCAGCCGCGGUAAUACGUAGGGGGCAAGCGUUAUCCGGAUUUACUGGGUGUAGAGGGAGCGUAGACGGCAGCGCAAGUCUGAAGUGAAAGCCCGGGGCUCAACCCCGGAAUGGCUUUGGAAACUGCGCGGCUAGAGUACCGGAGGGGUAAGCGGAAUUCCUAGUGUAGCGGUGAAAUGCGUAGAUAUUAGGAGGAACACCAGUGGCG